rnacentral:rRNA from 1 species
GACGAACGCUGGCGGCGUGCUUAACACAUGCAAGUCGAACGAAGUGGCGAACGGGUGAGUAACGCGUAAUCAACCUGCCCUUCAGCGGGGGACAACAGUUGGAAACGAAUGCUAAUACCGCAUACUGAAGGAGGGGAUUGCGUCGGGUUAGCUAGUUGGAGGGGUAACGGCCCACCAAGGCGAUGAUCAGUAGCCGGGCUGAGAGGAUGAACGGCCACAUUGGGACUGGGACACGGCCCAGACUCCUACGGGAGGCAGCAGUGGGGAAACUUCCGGAAUGGACGGAAGUCUGACGGAGCAACGCCGCGGGGGUGAUGACGGCCUUCGGGUUGUAAAGCUCUGUUAAUCGGGACGCGGUACCGGAAUAGAAAGCCACGGCUAACUACGUGCCAGCCGCCGCGGUAAUUC